AGCUGGCUGAAUCCGGGCCAAAU
rnacentral:miRNA from 11 species